GGAUGGGGGUAUACCAAAGCGGUGCCUCGGACAGAGACCCUCCCUGCAGGAAGAGGCUCUUUUCCCUGGCAUGUCUGUUAAUGAGGCAGCGCUCCUCACGGCUCAGGGAUAUAAGCGUUGUCCAGGAAAACAGGAAGGUCUUUGGAUUUCACUGAGGAUUCGUUCCAGCUGGAAAUGGAGUCCCCCAAAGACUCGAUGCAGUUCUCCAGGGGCCGGGACAGAGAGAGAAAAUUCCUAUAGAGAAGGCAGCUCGAGCAGGAACAGAGAGCCCUCUGGCAGCACCACGGAGUGACCCUGGCCAGAAUCCCUCAGACAUGUCCUUGCCUGAACAGUAAGACCGCAAGGGUCCUGGGGGAGUAAGGAAGAGGAGGGCAGAAAUUGCUGCUUCCCAUGCAGGCCAUUGUGGGAGGAGGUGAAUGGAAGAAGCCAACUUCUAGAGCUGAGUAGGAAGAACACAAGCUUGUUAGGCGAGCACUGGGCAUGGAAGAAGCAGCCUGCCCUGGAGCCGUUUCUUCAGGGCGCACUGUCUGACCUCCCCUCAGCAGACAGGUGAAGCAAGAAGUUUGACCCCCUUACCCAAGAGUGAAAGGUCACAGAAGAUGAGAGAACAGAGAGCUGGAAGGCUGGAUUGAUGACACUGACUGCUCAUCCGGAAGAUCUGGGUUCCGUUCCUAGCACAUGCAUGCAUGCAUACAUACAUACAUACAUACAUACAUACAACCAAUUGUAACCGCUUUGUGAUGUUUUUUAUUAUUUAUUUUUAUUUCUUGUGGAUAAGCAUUUUGUCUUUCUGUAAAGGCGACAUGGACAUGCCUGGUACCUGCAAGAGUCAGAGGAGGGCCUUGGACACCCCGGACUGGAGUUUACAGAGGGUUACAAGUCAGCAUGUGGGUGCUGGGAACAGGCCUUCAGUUUGACUCCCAGUGCUGCAUCGCUAAGGGCACACCUGCAAAUCCCAGAGGAAUCCUUCUUUGCAGAGCACAAGGACUUUCAGAGCUGGUUGCAAAGUUCUUUAACCCUGUGACUGCAAUUCCCCACCCUGUCUGGGUAGGGCUGUGGGUGUGGUGCUGAGUUGCUACCUGACCCUCUAGGACCAUUUAGAAGAUGGUGGAGUCUGAGUUCCCCCCACUCUGCUGGGCUCCUUUCCCAAAUAACUGCAGUCCUAGCAGCUAUAGUAUGCCACCAAAACCCAAGAUGAAUACAAAAAAUUAUCUUAGUUAAUAAUACUUGACAUGUGUAUUUUCUCUUAUCAUGGAUUAAAAGAACAGAACAGAAAAAGAAAAUUUUGAAUGUCUAGCAAAUAAUAGUUCUCAUUGCCUUCAAAUUAUAGCUAAGCUAAUUUGACUGAGUACUUUCUAAUCAAUAUUCAUGUGAUUAGAA